UACGUAGGGACCGAGCGUUGUCCGGAUUCAUUGGGCGUAAAGAGCUCGUAGGCGGCUGUUCAAGUCGAACGUGAAAACUCGGAGCUCAACUCCGAGCCUGCGUUCGAUACUGGACGGCUAGAGUCUGGUAGGGGAUCGUGGAAUUCCUGGUGUAGCGGUGGAAUGCGCAGAUAUCAGGAGGAACACCAGUGGCGAAGGCGAGUCCUGGACGACUCCUGACACUGAGGCACGAAAGCUAGGGGGAGCAAACAGG
rnacentral:rRNA from 1 species